CGGAGGCAGCAGUGGGGAAUCUUGCGCAAUGGGCGAAAGCCUGACGCAGCGACGCCGCGUGGGUGAUGAAGGCCUUCGGGUUGUAAAGCCCUGUGGAGAGGGACGAAUAAGUUCGACCUAAUACGUCGAGCGAUGACGGUACCUCUUUAGCAAGCACCGGCUAACUCUGUGCCAGCAGCCGCGGUAAGACAGAGGGUGCAAACGUUGUUCGGAAUUACUGGGCGUAAAGCGCGUGUAGGCGGUCGUGCAAGUCGGGUGUGAAAGCCCAGGGCUCAACCCUGGAAGUGCAUUCGAUACUGCGCGGCUAGAGUCCCGGAGAGGAUGGUGGAACUCUCGGUGUAGAGGUGAAAUUCGUAGAUAUCGAGAAGAACACCGGUGGCGAAGGCGGCCAUCUGGACGGUGACUGACGCUGAGACGCGAAAGCGUGGGGAGCAAACAGGAUUAGAUACCCCUGUAGUCCC
rnacentral:rRNA from 1 species